UUAAUCUAAAGGCUGUUUUAUGGUUGUGCGAAGGCUCCACGCAGCGCUUUUGCCGUAGCCUAUGUAAAUGGUUGGAUGUACAGUUUAUACUUUUGCGCUGGUGUGUAUGUUGACCCGGCAUGUGUGUGUGUGGAGUGUGUGGUAGAGCGAGGCAGCAGUAGGAGAGUGACAGCGAUUAGCUUUGGAGCCAGUAUUGACUCUACCGUCCUUGUCAGAGAACU